GGGUAUAGCCCAGUGGUAGAGUUCAUGCUUAGCAUGCACAAGGUCCUGGGUUCAAUCCCCAGUACUUCCA
rnacentral:tRNA from 1 species